GGGGGGAGCAAGCGUUGUUCGGAUUUACUGGGCGUAAAGGGCGCGUAGGCGGCCACCGCAAGUCGAUUGUGAAAUCUCCGGGCUUAACCCGGAAAGGUCAACCGAUACUGCGGGGCUAGAGUGCAGAAGGGGCAACUGGAAUUCUCGGUGUAGCGGUGAAAUGCGUAGAUAUCGAGAGGAACACCUGCGGCGAAGGCGGGUUGCUGGGCUGACACUGACGCUGAAGUGCGAAAGCUAGGGGAGCGAACGGGAUUAGAUACCCCGGUAGUCCUAGCCUUAAACGAUGAAUGCUUGGUGUCUGGGGUUUUAUAGUCCCCGGGUGCCGUCGCUAACGCUUUAAGCAUUCCGCCUGGGGAGUACUGUCGCAAGACUG
rnacentral:rRNA from 1 species